CAAUGUUGCGUGGCCCGCGGCCAUGGACGAUGUGCUGUUGGACAACGACGCGAGCCCGAGGCAGCCAAUGUGAAUGACAACCGGGGUAUGUAAUGCCCCCCCCCCCCCAAUCUUUAUUAACUUUUUUGAGUCCUAUGUAGUGUUGUUCUAUUUGUUAUGCGGUUUUUCUUAAAAAUGUACAUCUCCCUUUCAUUCAUUCAUAAUUCAUACAAUAAAAGAGUGUUUUACUAUCUGGUUUGUCUGGAGCUUAAAACCGAUAGCUUUAUGCAGGAGGGCAGGAGGUUGUAUGUUGGUUUUGGAAAUACCUGUUUGUCCAUAGAAAACUACAAAAUGCAUGUGCGCUUAGAAUUCGGAUAUAGUCACAUUUGGCAAUAUGCAAGAUUAUUGUUAUCUAAUAGAUUUUUCAUGUUUCUUUCUUUUUGGAGAAAAUCGUUUAUCUUUCAAUCUUAUCACAGGGCCAUCAGAGAACAUUGGACUACUACACUUUCAGUGAGACCUACAUUAGGCCAAUGACACAUUUUAAUUAAUGAAAAAUAUGAGCUGAGAACAUAUAGGAGCUCUUUUGGUUCAGAUAUCUUCUUAAACAUGAGUUCCUUUUGAAAUCCCUCUUUUCUUUUCUAUAUUCAGUUUCUAAGCUAAUGUCCUCCUAGCCUAGACCAUGUUCAUCUGACUAAUCUUCUCAGUUAAUGCCCUCCUUGCCUGGAUCACGUUCAUCCGAUUAACAAAGGCUUGGCCAUCUUGUAAUAGUAGCUGUUGAAGUGUACACUACUUCAGUUUGCAUGAGAACAACCGCUUAUAUGUGUGCCUCAAUAGUAAAGUAGGAUUGCUUGUAUAAUUUUCUGUAGUACUUUGUCCAGUUUUAAAUGUUCAGUUUCUUAACUUAUUAUGAGGCUUGCAUCAAUCAAAGAAAUCAUGCGCCCUUGGCUUGAUCAAAUGAACUUAUGUUUGCUAAAUUUUUUUAGAGUGUGUUUCCUCCUACUAUCUUAUUAUUCUGUAGGUAAUUAUGUUUUGGAAUCUGGUGGGUUCAAAGAACUUUCACAAUAAGAAUGUGCUAACCUUUUUUCAGGGAAAACAUAAAGAACAAAAAGGAAAUGGCAAUUUUGAGAUUUCUGUAAAGUGACGGGCAUUGCUAAAUCAGAUAACACACUAUUCAAAAAGAGAACACAUUCAUCACUUCAUUUUAGAGAUUCAAUAAAGUAAGCAAAACUUGGAAUCCAAGGCAGAAUACCAACUAUUGUACUACUGAAUACACGUUUAUUUGCCGACAUGAAACUAUCUAUCACAUGUAGGCGUGUUUGCUCCUCGGAGCAUAGCAAUAUGAUAUGCUCUUAUAUAAACAUCAUCCUGCUUACAAUGUUAAUUCAAAGCCAUAAUUCAAGUUCAUAUCUUGCUUACAACGUCAAUAUAAUUGCUUUGUAAUCUCUGUCAAGAUUAAUAAACUGUACAUGCAUGUCACGCAAAUAGGAAAACUUGACUAGAUCUACACGUAUAUUUCUAUCACUUCUGAUAUCUCAUCGACUAUUUACAUACCAUCUUGCAUACCAACAAUACAAGAGUGUUGACUUUAUUUUAUUUUAUUUCAUUUCUGACAUAGUUCCCAAUUAGGCUUACAAAUAUUUUAUAGUAUCACUUCCGUCAUCAAGCUUAUGAUGAAUGUAUUCCCUUGAGCAGUAUUUCAUCCAUUUGGAUUUAGGUGACAUGUGUGGUGGCACGAGAAAAUGGAAGGCCCUAAGCUGAAGGAGAGCAUCAAUUGACAUGAGAGAUAAGCAAUAUCUAUUAGACACGCAUACUAUCAGGCUAACACAAACCACUCGGGAAUGAAGUAUACUUACCAUAACUUUAUGUGUUGACUUGAGUUUUCCUAUUAGUAAAAGAAACAUGCCAUUUUUUUGCGGUUCAUGGAUUCAAGCUCAAUGUUGAAUUAUUAUCUGAUCUGCAAAAGCAUGCCAUACUGCUGCUCAUGGUCACAUGAUUUAUAAUUUAUAACUACAAUUAUUCAAAUUAGUAUCUUGCAUGAAGUCUUGACAUCUAGCUUGAUCAAAGAUUCCACUGUGUGCUUAUUUCUCCAUCAUAUCGCACAAUGAAUAAUAUCAGUAGAUAGAUAUCUCCUUUUUAUGCAAUGAAUUUCAUGAAAUAAAACAUCGUCCAUCACCGUCUCCGACGUAAUCUUAAGUGCACAUGCAUGGCUUACUGUCACUGCUUUCUUGUAGUAUUAGUGUCGUCUUUGGCUCUUUCCUUUCUUGAAUUUUCCAAUGACAGAGUACAUGCCUAAACAUAUUCGAAGUUGCUGAUUAUUUUGUUGCAAAUAUAGUAUUUAGUAAUUUGACGUGAACCCUUGAAGGUCCAAUUAAGGCUAUUUGACUAGGAAGCUAGGUUAUAUGUUCUCAAAAGAACCUACCCCUGUUAUGCACCAGUUUUUUGCCUUAGCAUUGUUUCUGCUGUUACGCUAUAUAUCUUGUAUUAAUUGAAUUUUGAAGAUAGCGAUUAAGGAAUUCAUCUACAAUAGGAACUUACUUCCCAACAAGGAAAGUCCAGUGGUUGGGCAACAACAUGUGGAAGGAUAAUUACUGGAUACUUUUUUUUAGCGAACAACUGUGGAGCGAUUUGCUAUCUCAAAACAUCCAAAUAUGCAGGUGUCAUCAAUACUGUUUGAUAGCUUGGGGGACGAUAAUGCGGCAAACGUCCAACGGCUGGCUAGCUGUGUGGGAGAGCAAGAGAUGUCUCGAGAAACGUCUCACUACAAUGGGAAACCGAGCGGGAAGGGGAGGGUCCGACAGGGAAAAGGAAGUUUGUGUUGCGCCCGCGGGUUGGAGAGAACAAAUGGUGGAUAGUCUGGACAAUGGCAUUUCUCCCCCACAUAUGAUCUGAUUAUGGGGAAGUCUGGACUAUCCAGGCGGUUGAAUUUUGGGGAGCCCGUUGGGCACCAGACGUAUGAGGGAGAAAUGAGCUUUGACUUUGAAAACGACUUUAAUAAUUUAUUUCACCCUUAAAAGAACAAAUUCUACUAGUUAUUCUUUUAAGGAUGUAGUACCUCAAAAACUUGGAGAUCCGGAAAUACCAACUAUACCUUGCUCCAUCAAAAGAAACUAUGUGAAAAUUGCUUUAUGUGA